GGUCUGAUGACAAUACUAAGGAUUUCAUUCAGUGGUGAAAACAGCAGGAGAAAUGCAGCAAAAAAAAUGUUUUGAGAUCUCCAGCGUCCUCCAACUCUUUUUACAAGUCAAAAACUCAGCUCCACAGGCAAAUUGCCCAUCCGCACACUUCACUUCCUUUCAUUGAAUGGUGAUUCAUCGCCCACAAUGCGUUCAAAGGAUCACAGGCCCUAUAAGGAUUGACCAUGCCUCCACAGCCAAAGUUCUAUGGUUUGCAUGCCCUGCGAAGGACCCAAGUAUACGGUCAUAAUAGGUGCUUGGAGUUCGUCGUUCCCCAAG